rnacentral:rRNA from 1 species
UGGUGGUGCGAGCUGUCUGGUUGAUUCCGUUAACGAACGAGACCUUUGUGAGAUAAUAGUUGAAUCAAGAUAUUGCGUCAAGGCUGCAGCUCACGUAUGGAGGAUGUGGUUCGUCCCGCUCCGUACUCUGGGCUGUAGUUGCAAUCUAGAUUACGACUUCUUUCUCAGACAAAUGAAAAAAAUUCAUUGGAAGUUGGAGGCAAAAACA